rnacentral:lncRNA from 1 species
AUCCGGGCUUCCGCGUAGUCCGGGCGCCCUGGCCUCUGCACCGUCCUAGAAACCUGUCUUACGUCGAGGAACCCGGGGGACAGAGGCGCGCCAGUGCACGCCGGGGCCAGGGACGAACGGCUCGCCAAUGCAAAGGAGGCCCCUCGGGGAGACGGCAGGCAGCAAAAGGCUUCCUUGGCCGGGGGUCUGGGCGUUUGGGGAGGGGAGGUGCUCAGAGAUAGGGCCGAGGAUGGAGCUCCCAGGUGGGUUGGAGGCGGGGGUGGCUGGGCUCGAGGACGCUGUUGGAGUCCGGGGUCUGGAAGAGGCGAUCCCCGGGAAAGCCAGCUUCAGAGCCGGGAAGGGUCGGCAGGGGACCUACUGCAAGAGCCCCCAGGUUGGGGUAGGGAGGGGGCCCAGACCUGGGCCGGGAGGGAUGCUGAAUCCCCCGACCUAGCUCUGGGGCUUUGCAAACCAGCAUCACUGCAGCAUUUUGUGGCUCAAGGAAUGGGGCAGGGCGGCCAGACCAGCUGUGGCUGGUGCGUGCGUGAGGCCCUGAGGGAUGCGGCCAAUGCUAUUUUGCUGUUUUGUACUUACUCAGUUUCAUUUUGGCUCUGUCGCCACUAGGCGAAAGAAAUCGAAGUGCUAACAUACCACGGGGAGCAAUGAUUAUUACUCAAUGUGGCCCCGCCCCAGCAGCGGGAGGUGGCAUCUGUUUGACCUUGGAGACUUGGACGGUAUUUAGGGAGAUUACAUGAAAAAAAGACUCACCCCACAAUGCUUGCAGUCAGCUACAAGCUGCCUUGUCCUUCAUACCUUUUAGCCUUUAUUUCCUGAGUCUAUCUUGUCUGUUUCUAAUGUAGUCUCCUGAUUUAGGGCAAGAGAAUAUUUCUCACUCUUGGUCUGCCCACUACCCACAAUCCUUGUCCGAGGAUUUACUCGGCAAACUUAGCAGGCAAAACCCCUUGUCAACUUAACACUAAAAAAUACCGUCUCUUGGAAGGCAGUCUGCUUUGAUAAACCUAAUGGAAUAAAAAGUGAGUUUGCUAUCUGGCUUUAAAGAACAUAACCCAGCUGGGCAUGGUGGCUCACACCUGUAAUCCCAACACUUUGGGAGACCGAGGCAGGAGGAUCGCUUAAGCCCAGGCGUUCAAGACCAGCCUGGGCAACAUAGUAUAGUAAAACCCAGUCUCUACAAAAAGAAUUUAAAAAUUAGCCAGGCCAGAUAGCCCAGCUACUUGGGACGCUGAAACAGGAUUGCUUUGAGUCCAGCAGGUGGAGGCUGCAGUGAGCUAUGACUGCACCACUGCACUCCAGCCUGGUCAACAGAGCGAGAUCCUGUCUCAAAACAAAACAAAAAAACUGACAACCAAUGAAACCUCAUCUCUAAAAUCUGGCUUCAGGUUAAGUGAGUAAAAAGAGGCUUUCUUGUGGCCAGGCACGGUGGCUUAUGCCUGGUAAUCCCAGCACUUUGGGAGGCCAAGGCGGGCGGAUCACGAGGUCAGGAGUUCAAGACCAGCCUGGCCAACAUAGUGAAACCCUGUUUCUACUAAAAAUACAAAAAAAUUAGCCAGGCAUGGUGGUGGAUGCCUGUAAUCCCAGCUACUCGGGAGGCUGAGGCAGGAGAAUCAACGUGAACCCAGGAGGCGGAGGUUGCAGUGAGCUGGUAUCACGCCAUUGCACUCCAACCCCGGGCAAUAGUGCGAGACUCCGUCUCAAAAAAAAAAAAGGCUUUCAUUUAUCUUCUCAGCUCCUACAAGCCAAUGAGUGGUAGGGUAAUUUGCCGACCACAGUGGGAAGAACUAAUUUAACACCAAGAUUGUGAUUCCCCUAGUGUAGAUCCAGUAUGAAAGAAGUGUCUCAGGCAUGCUUCUGGUUCCUGAGUUAACUCUAGUGAAUAAGGUGGGCUGUGCUGUCUCCCCACCUCCCCCAGGCAUAGGGGCAGAACAGCUGCAGACCACCAGGACCCAGUGGGCCAAGUGAGGAUGUGAGUCAAAGCCAGUGCUUAUUAAACCACCUAAUACUGUACUUUUCCCAUCCAGGGGAGGCAGGAGAGGAUUGAGGAGGCAAAUCCCCGAGCCCAGAAGACUCCAGUCAGAAAACAAGAUGGUCCCCAUGGGUAGUGGCCAAUCCCUCUGGCCUUUCAGAGCAGUGGCUUUGGCCUUGUCCGCUU